rnacentral:rRNA from 4 species
GGUUAAGUUAGAAAGGGCGCACGGUGGAUGCCUUGGCACUAGGAGCCGAUGAAGGACGGGACGAACACCGAUAUGCUUCGGGGAGCUGUAAGCAAGCUUUGAUCCGGAGAUUUCCGAAUGGGGAAACCCACCACUCGUAAUGGAGUGGUAUCCAUAUCUGAAUACAUAGGAUAUGAGAAGGCAGACCCGGGGAACUGAAACAUCUAAGUACCCGGAGGAAGAGAAAGCAAAUGCGAUUCCCUGAGUAGCGGCGAGCGAAACGGGAUCAGCCCAAACCAAGAGGCUUGCCUCUUGGGGUUGUAGGACACUCUGUACGGAGUUACAAAGGAACGAGGUAGAUGAAGAGGUCUGGAAAGGCCCGCCAUAGGAGGUAACAGCCCUGUAGUCAAAACUUCGUUCUCUCCUGAGUGGAUCCUGAGUACGGCGGAACACGUGAAAUUCCGUCGGAAUCCGGGAGGACCAUCUCCCAAGGCUAAAUACUCCCUAGUGACCGAUAGUGAACCAGUACCGUGAGGGAAAGGUGAAAAGCACCCCGGAAGGGGAGUGAAAGAGAUCCUGAAACCGUGUGCCUACAAGUAGUCAGAGCCCGUUAACGGGUGAUGGCGUGCCUUUUGUAGAAUGAACCGGCGAGUUACGAUCCCGUGCAAGGUUAAGCAGAAGAUGCGGAGCCGCAGCGAAAGCGAGUCUGAAUAGGGCGAAUUGAGUACGUGGUCGUAGACCCGAAACCAGGUGAUCUACCCAUGUCCAGGGUGAAGUUCAGGUAACACUGAAUGGAGGCCCGAACCCACGCACGUUGAAAAGUGCGGGGAUGAGGUGUGGGUAGGGGUGAAAUGCCAAUCGAACCUGGAGAUAGCUGGUUCUCUCCGAAAUAGCUUUAGGGCUAGCCUCAAGGUAAGAGUCUCGGAGGUAGAGCACUGAUUGGACUAGGGGCCCCUACCGGGUUACCGAAUUCAGUCAAACUCCGAAUGCCGAUGACUUAUCCUUGGGAGUCAGACUGCGAGUGAUAAGAUCCGUAGUCGAAAGGGAAACAGCCCAGACCGCCAGCUAAGGUCCCAAAGUAUACGUUAAGUGGAAAAGGAUGUGGAGUUGCUUAGACAACCAGGAUGUUGGCUUAGAAGCAGCCACCAUUUAAAGAGUGCGUAAUAGCUCACUGGUCGAGUGACUCUGCGCCGAAAAUGUACCGGGGCUAAACGUAUCACCGAAGCUGCGGACUGUUCUUCGAACAGUGGUAGGAGAGCGUUCUAAGGGCUGUGAAGCAAGACCGGAAGGACUUGUGGAGCGCUUAGAAGUGAGAAUGCCGGUAUGAGUAGCGAAAGAGGGGUGAGAAUCCCCUCCACCGAAUGCCUAAGGUUUCCUGAGGAAGGCUCGUCCGCUCAGGGUUAGUCGGGACCUAAGCCGAGGCCGAAAGGCGUAGGCGAUGGAUAACAGGUUGAUAUUCCUGUACCACCUCCUCACCAUUUGAGCAAUGGGGGGACGCAGGAGGAUAGGGUAAGCGCGGUAUUGGAUAUCCGCGUCCAAGCAGUUAGGCUGGGAAAUAGGCAAAUCCGUUUCCCGUGAAGGCUGAGCUGUGAUGGCGAGCGAAUUAUAGUAGCGAAGUUCCUGAUUCCACACUGCCAAGAAAAGCCUCUAGCGAGGUGAGAGGUGCCCGUACCGCAAACCGACACAGGUAGGCGAGGAGAGAAUCCUAAGGUGAUCGAGAGAACUCUCGUUAAGGAACUCGGCAAAAUGACCCCGUAACUUCGGGAGAAGGGGUGCUCUGUUAGGGUGCAAGCCCGAGAGAGCCGCAGUGAAUAGGCCCAGGCGACUGUUUAGCAAAAACACAGGUCUCUGCGAAGCCGUAAGGCGAAGUAUAGGGGCUGACGCCUGCCCGGUGCUGGAAGGUUAAGAGGAGCGCUUAGCGUAAGCGAAGGUGCGAAUUGAAGCCCCAGUAAACGGCGGCCGUAACUAUAACGGUCCUAAGGUAGCGAAAUUCCUUGUCGGGUAAGUUCCGACCCGCACGAAAGGCGCAACGAUCUGGGCACUGUCUCAACGAGAGACUCGGUGAAAUUAUAGUACCUGUGAAGAUGCAGGUUACCCGCGACAGGACGGAAAGACCCCGUGGAGCUUUACUGCAGCCUGAUAUUGAAUGUUGGUACAGCUUGUACAGGAUAGGUAGGAGCCUUGGAAACCGGAGCGCCAGCUUCGGUGGAGGCAUCGGUGGGAUACUACCCUGGCUGUAUUGACCUUCUAACCCGCCGCCCUUAUCGGGCGGGGAGACAGUGUCAGGUGGGCAGUUUGACUGGGGCGGUCGCCUCCUAAAAGGUAACGGAGGCGCCCAAAGGUUCCCUCAGAAUGGUUGGAAAUCAUUCGCAGAGUGUAAAGGCACAAGGGAGCUUGACUGCGAGACCUACAAGUCGAGCAGGGACGAAAGUCGGGCUUAGUGAUCCGGUGGUUCCGCAUGGAAGGGCCAUCGCUCAACGGAUAAAAGCUACCCCGGGGAUAACAGGCUUAUCUCCCCCAAGAGUCCACAUCGACGGGGAGGUUUGGCACCUCGAUGUCGGCUCAUCGCAUCCUGGGGCUGUAGUCGGUCCCAAGGGUUGGGCUGUUCGCCCAUUAAAGCGGUACGCGAGCUGGGUUCAGAACGUCGUGAGACAGUUCGGUCCCUAUCCGUCGCGGGCGCAGGAAAUUUGAGAGGAGCUGUCCUUAGUACGAGAGGACCGGGAUGGACGCACCGCUGGUGUACCAGUUGUUCUGCCAAGGGCAUCGCUGGGUAGCUAUGUGCGGACGGGAUAAGUGCUGAAAGCAUCUAAGCAUGAAGCCCCCCUCAAGAUGAGAUUUCCCAUUCCGCAAGGAAGUAAGAUCCCUGAAAGAUGAUCAGGUUGAUAGGUCUGAGGUGGAAGUGUGGCGACACAUGGAGCUGACAGAUACUAAUCGAUCGAGGACUUAACCAA